GUGUGUUUGUAUGUAUGUGUGUCGUGGAGGAGUGAUCUGUUCCCCGAGCCGCCGAAAGGCAAAGGCCCGCGUCACUCCAACGUGACAAAUCUCAAAAAAAAAAAAAAAGAGUGAUCUGUGCCUGUCCAUGUGGCUGUAUGACGAACCAGGCUGUUGCCACGGUGACGGUGGUGGUGGGCAUGAUACAGAUGCAGGAGGUGGAGUUUGUGCCCGAUGGAGACAUGCACCUGGACAAAUUGUGUUGGUCAUUGGUCAGACUGGAGUUUACAUGUGUACCUCCUUCACCAUCAUUGGUGGACACUUCACCAUGAGUGAUGCUUGAGCUGUCACGGUGCUGCUGCUGUUGUCUGCCAUCAUCCCCCUGACACAGACCACCCUGCAGACCACCUUCAUCCUGGGUGCCACACGUCGCUGCUGCUACAACUCAGAGCAACUGGAGCGCAAGCCAGGAAGGGAGAUGGAUGCUUGAGCUGUCAUGGUGCUGCUGCUGUUGUCUGCCAUCAUCCCCCUGACACAGACCACCCUGCAGACCACCCUUCAUCCUGGGUGCCACACGUCACUGCUGCUACAACUCAGAGCAACUGGAGUGCAAACCAGGAAGGGAAAUGGUUACCUUCUUGUUGAUGUGCAAUCUUGCUAUGUGGGCGAUGAACACCUCUGAGACAUCACGAGCAGAUGCCCAUCCAGCACAGCUCAACUUGUAUGGAAUCUGGACCUGGACCAUCAUAUCAAUGCCACUGCCUUUGAUAUGUGUUUGAUAUGGCUUCUAUUGCUUUCAAGUGACCAUCUGCCUCUGUGAAAUAUGGAAGAUCUUACAAGCUCAAGCAUGAGUAUUAAGCAAGUUAUAGGAAUGCUAGUAUGAGUGUGGUGUGUCUGAAUUAGCUGUCAGAGUAUUGUAAAUAUUAUUACUUAGUCUUCCCAGUUAUGAAAUUAAGAACAGUUGUGAAGUUUGCUUUAAAACCCUUCAUUAACUUUGCCACAAAACACUUUUACAUGUUAUCAAAAGUGUGUAACUGUUAUGAUGUGUGCAUAUAUAUCAUUACUACAGAAGAAUCUGGAAUUUCCCCUCAGAUUACUUUAAUGAAUGAAGCUUGAGUUCACAGAUGUGUGGUUUGUCAAUUUCACCUGUAUUCUCUCCUCUAUGGCAGUCUGUUCUGGCAAAGUUUCAUUUGUCAAAAGCAUUACAGUUUGUAAAUGAUGUGUCUUCAUAUGCCUUCACUAGCAAUUAUGAAUUACAUUGUGGUCAUGGAUUUUGUUCUUUUAAUACAGUUGCCUCAAGAUAUUCUGAGCUUUACAAUGCUGUCUUUAGUACACUGCAAGAAAAUACAGAAAUUUCAUGUGGCAACAUUUAUUUUUAAAACAUUAUUUAUUACUUUUAAAAAUAGCAAUGUGGGGCUUCCUUAAUGCAAAUAGUCUUGCCCCAAAAAACUUGUGAUGUCAAACACUAACUUCUCUUAACACAGCACAACCAAAACCACUCAAAAUUAUACAUUAAUUUUUUUUAUAGAGCAACAUGUGUGGAAAGUGCUACCAGAAAUAUUUGCAUAACAAAUAUUUGGUUCUGGACCUUAGCACUUAUACAGUACUGCACUAACUUACACACAAGGUUAAUUAAUGAUGUAAUACUCAGGUGAAGCUGGAUUUUCAAAAGACUGAUCAAUAUUUUUUCCCAGAUGUCAUUUUUAUGCAGCUGACUGAAGGAGAAAACACUGCAAAGCUCACAGUAUUCUUCUUAAAUCUUACUAAAAUGUAUGCGCAUCACUUUCUGAUUUCACCCCAAUGGCACACAAACCAAAAUUCAUGGGUAUGGAGAUGGCUGGACUACUUCCUGUGGCCACCCCUGUUAUAUCUUAAUUUCCCACUGUCUUUCCUGUGUGCUGGUUAAGCUACUCACUGCUGAAGUCCCUGGAAACUAGGUAGAAUAAUUUAGAAUGACAUGGUUAAGUUAAUGCUGAUAAAAUCUCAUUUGUAAUAUUCAGGAAGAUUGAAUUAUUCUUCCUCUGUUGAAGCAAAUGAUAUAACAUUGACUAGAAGCUUUCACAAUAUUUAUAAGCUUUCUUGUAUCAGAGAUCUUUUGAAAAUCCAACCAUUAAUUUGUAAAUACUUGUAUAGUGUAGCUGGCAUGAGGGUUGCAGUCUUCAUUAUUUACUAGUGGACAAGCAACAAGUGAUGGUGUGGCUCUGAGCCACUGUAGUAGGGAUGUUAUGGUCAAACCUCCAUACAUUACUGUCUCUAUCCAGUAUGAGACCGGUGUUCAGGAAGCACAAGCAUGUGCUGAAUAACAAGAAGCCGGCGUGGCUCAAGAGGAAGAGUGAGUAGGACGAGAAAAAACAGAACAAAUAAAUCCCCUACACGUGUUGUCUCCAUUGACACAAGCCAUGAAAAGCUUGUCCAUCUCUGAGUGCUAAGGAGCAGUGUGUUCAACUGAUGAUGUGGAAACUUGAGACAGCCAAUCAUUUAAUGGACUUUAGUAGGUUUUGUCACCAGUCUUCUGUGUGUCACUCACUACAUUUUGAAAUUUUUACUUGUUCUAUUUAAU